rnacentral:rRNA from 1 species
GCAAGCGUUGUUCGGAAUUACUGGGCGUAAAGGGCUCGUAGGCGGCCAACUAAGUCAGACGUGAAAUCCCCAGGCUCAACCUGGGAACUGCGUCUGAUACUGGAUGGCUUGAAUCCGGGAGAGGGAUGCAGAAUUCCAGGUGUAGCGGUGAAAUGCGUAGAUAUCUGGAGGAAUACCGGUGGCGAAGGCGGCAUCCUGGACCGGCAUUGACGCUGAGGAGCGAAAGCCAGGGGAGCAAACGGG